CGAGGUGGGAAAUGAGAAAUCCCUGAGGUUGAAAAUGAGAAAUCCUGGAAAUCCUUGAGCUGGGAAAUGGGAAAUGGAACGGGGAAAUCCCUGACUGAGGUGGGAAAUGGGAAAUCCGUGAGAUGGGGAAUCCUGAAGAUCCGCGAGGUUGGAAAUGAGAAAUCCCCGAGGUGGGAGCUGGGAAAUCCUUGAGGUGGAAACUGGGAAAUCCUGGAAAUUCCCGAGGUGGAACUGGGAAAUCUCUGCCCAGCUGCUGGGUCGGGUGAAUGAUCAACCAGGGCAGGGGCGGGAUUGCAAAAUCCCCCGGUGUCCUUGGGGUGGGGAGAAGCUGAAUUUUCUCCCUCUGGGAUCACACAUGACCCCCAAAAAAAAACCAGAGCUGCUUGGCAAGAAGGGAUGGAAACCCCCGGGACCCUGCGGGGUCCGCGGCAGCGCUGGGGUGGGACGGGCGGGCCCGGGGCCGGGACAGAGCCGGGACAGAGCUGGGACAGAGCUGGGGCUGGGACAGAGCCAGGACAGAGCUGGGACAGAGCUGGGGCUGGGACAGAGCCAGGACAGAGCUGGGACAGAGCUGGGGCUGGGACAGAGCCAGGACAGAGCCAGGACAGAGCUGGGGCUGGGACAGAGCCGGGACAGAGCUGGGGCUGGGACAGAGCCAGGACAGAGCCAGGACAGAGCUGGGGCUGGGCUGGGACAGAGCUGGGACAGAGCCAGGACAGAGCUGGGACAGAGCCGGGACAGAGCUGGGGCUGGGACAGAGCCGGGACAGAGCCAGGACAGAGCUGGGACAGAGCUGGGACAGAGCUGGGACAGAGCUGGGGCUGGGCUGGGGCUGCUCCAGCCCCAGUCCUUCCUCACCCCAGGGGCUGGGGCAGAGCUGGGGCUGGGCCAGGGAUUCUCUCGGACCGGGGAUUCCCUCGGGCCGGGAAUUCCCUCGGGCCGGGGAUUCUCUUGGACCGGGGAUUCCCUCGGGCCGGGGAUUCCCUUGGGGCCCGGGAUUCCCUCGGGGCCGGGGAUUCUCUCGGGCCGGGGAUUCUCUCGGACCGGGGAUUCCCUCGGGGCGCUCCCAGCCCAGUCCCUCCUCACGGCCCCACCCCGCAGGGACCAGGCCGAGGCGCGGCGCUCCAAGACCAAGGAGGCGCGGAAGCGGCGCGAGGAGCGGCUGCAGGCCAAGAAGGAGGAGAUCAUCAAAACCCUGUCCAAGGAGGAGGAGGCCAAGAAGUGACCGACAUCAAAACCCUCUCCCGAGGAGGAGAAGGAGUGACCACGGGCUGUCCGAGCGGGUCCCAUCCCCGGGAUCCAAUAAAGCAUCCCGGGCAAUUCCCGAGUCCUGUGUC
rnacentral:lncRNA from 1 species